rnacentral:lncRNA from 1 species
AUUCUCUGCAGCUGGGCUCCUUCUGUCUCAGAGCUGGGAAUACAAUCUUCAGGCAAAUGACUGGAAAGCCCCCUUCAGGCCCCUAACAUCUCCCAGCAGUAAGUAUGAGCACUAAGUGUGUGCAUUCAGCCACACUAGGAUACAGCAGAGCUGCAUGUACCCCAGGACUCAGCCAGUUUCCUACAGGAGCAUAGAAGAAAGUACCACUAAAGGAGAGCAAGGAGAAGGAAGAGGAAGAGGGCAGCAAUUGGCAAGGCUUGAGGCAUGAAGAAAGUGCACUUUCACUGUUGCAGUAGUCUUAGAAAACAAAUAUUUCUGCAUGGUGACACGGUUCUUACUGGAACCCCAGAACAUCUCCAUGGUAUGACCUACCACAUUUCCUCCCCACCAAAAUAAUAAUAAUAAUAAUAAUAAGGCUACCAAGUAUCUGGAAUUUCUUGCUCAUUAAAAUCUGAUUACUACCACACUCAAAAGCAUCUGGGUCUUUCUUUGGUCCUUACUAAAAACAAAGGCUUUGCUUUGAACAUUUCUCCAGGCAAGUCCCAUCUGCUCCCGCAGAACAAGAAUUUAAUGAAGAAGGAAGUGUUACUAAACCUUUGUGCUUUGGACCACAGAACUUUAGAAUUAGAAAAAGCAGCAAAAGAUCUACUUUUUU